GAGUUGGGAGUUCAGUGGUAGAAUACUUGCUUGCCACGCGGGCGACCUGGGUUCGAUUCAUGGCCAAUGUA
rnacentral:tRNA from 1 species